ACGAACGCUGGCGGCGCGCCUUACGCAUGCAAGUCGAACGGUCCUUCGGGACAGUGGCGGACGGCUGAGUAACGCGUAGAUAACCUAUCCAGUGGUGGGGGAUAACCCUUCGAAAGAAGGGCUAAUACCGCAUGAGUUCCCCGGGUGAAAAUCCCGGGGAGGAAAGCCGCAAGGCGCCACAUGAGGGGUCUGCGUCCUAUCACGGUAGUUGGUGGGGUAAUGGCCUACCAAGCCUUUGACGGGUAGCUGGUCUGAGAGGACGACCAGCCAGAAGGGGACUGAGACACGGCCCCUACUCCUACGGGAGGCAGCAGCGAGGAAUCUUGGGCAAUGGGCGAAAGCCUGACCCAGCGACGCCGCGUGAGGGACGAAGGCCUUCGGGUCGUAAACCUCUUUUGUGAGGGAAGAAGUUCUGACGGUACCUCACGAAUAAGCCACGGCUAACUACGU
rnacentral:rRNA from 1 species